rnacentral:rRNA from 1 species
CUGCUCCUACGGGGCGCAGCAGUGGGGAAUAUUGCACAAUGGGGGAAACCCUGAUGCAGCAACGCCGCGUGAGUGAAGAAGUCAUUCGUGAUGUAAAGCUCUCUCAGCAGGGAAGAAAAUGACGGUACCUGAGUAAGAAGCCCCGGCUAACUACGUGCCAGCAGCCGCGGUAAUACGUAGGGGGCAAGCGUUAUCCGGAUUUACUGGGUGUAAAGGGCGCGUAGGCGGGAUGGCAAGUCAGAUGUGAAAUCCAGGGGCUCAACCCCUGAACUGCAUUUGAAACUGUCGUUCUUGAGUACUGGAGA